UUUUAUGUGGUCCAUAUAUUGAACUGGCCACAAUGAUAUCUGAACAUUUCAACUACUUCACGAAAGUAAAUUAUGGUAUGUAGCUUAAUGAAUUUAAGUAGAGCAGUUCAGUUACCGACUUCAAUCCACCCACAAAGAUCAAACCUUUGAGAUUUGCAAACUUGUGCUUGUUGCAAACAAUCCAACUUUUUUCAUCAGUCUCUGUGUCCAUUUUCGUUCAAAAGUCUAAAAAUUUUCCCCACAAUUCAUCCUUGAACGUGCCUUUGCUACCCGAGUCAGGGCAUGCCAAAGACGAGGAGAAAGUCACAGACUCUUAUCCUUCUACCGAAAACACUGCAUCCUUCUUUCACACCUGCUUCAAUGGACUCAAUGCAAUAUCAGGUGUUGGAAUACUCUCUUGUCCGUACACUCUCGCAUCUCGGGGUUGGUUAAGCUUGGCCUUUUUGUUUGCUAUUGCUUCUGCAACGUUUUACACAGGGAUUUUGAUUAAAAGAUGCAUGGAUACGAGUUCGAAUAUCAGAAGCUACCCUGAUGUGAACUUGCAUUUGGAAAGACUGGAAGGUUAAUGAUAUCAGGGUUAAUGUACACGGAGCUCUACUUGGUUUCAAUAGGGUUCUUGAUUCUGGAAGGCGAUAACUUGAGUAACUUGUUCCCUAAUAGGGAGAUUCAGAUAGCUGGCUUUGUAAUUGGUGGGAAGCAACUAUUUGUGAUAUUGGUUGCCCUUAUCAUCCUGCCCACAGUUUGGUUGGACAACUUUACAAUGUCAUAAAUAUAGAAACUGUAUUCCACUAAACAGUGAGCAGAAAACGUGAGUCUUCAUAGUGCUCGUAUGAAUAAAACAUGUCUCUGCACCAAUGAUUAGCCAGCCAUCCUUCUCAAAAUCUUCACAAGCUUUUUAUCUACCCCAGAAUUCAAGGCGGUGUAUUUUGAUUAUGUUGGGGAAGGUAUUAUAGUUAGUUUUUAAUUAGAUGAAAAACUUAUUUGAUUAUUUCAUAAAUAAACUCUUUUAAUAGUUUUUAGCA